UACAGCCAUAUCACAUUGAAACAUUUGCUCCCAUACAAUCACCAAAGUUAAGCAACAUCUAGCCUGGUCAGUACCUAGAUGAGUGACUGCUCGGGAAUACCAGGUGCUGUAAG